UACGAGGGGGGCAAGCGUUGUUCGGAAUUAUUGGGCGUAAAGGGUGCGUAGGCGGCUUUGCAAGUCGGAUGUGAAAUCCCUCGGCUUAACCAAGGAAGUGCAUCCGAAACUGCAGAGCUUGAGUACUUAAGAGGAUCGCGGAAUUCCCGGUGUAGAGGUGAAAUUCGUAGAUAUCGGGAGGAACACCAGUGGCGAAGGCGGCGAUCUGGGAAGAUACUGACGCUGAGGUGCGAAAGCGUGGGGAGCAAACAGG
rnacentral:rRNA from 1 species